AGUUCAAUGAUGCGUUACAUCUGAUUACAUUCUGAUUUAAUAUAUUGGAGUUUAUGUAUUGAUAGACGGACCGUCCCCCCGAGAGGGUUAAUCCGUCUCACAAGUGCACAGGUGUGUGUGGAUGAACAGAGAAGGCGUGCACAUGCCUUUAAUAGUAAUAAAAAAGGCCAGCGACAACCGACUCUGAUUUCAUUCGAUAAUGAUCCUUCCGCAGGUUCACCUACGGAAA
rnacentral:misc_RNA from 1 species